rnacentral:rRNA from 1 species
UACGUAGGUGGCAAGCGUUGUCCGGAGUUAUUGGGCGUAAAGCGCGCGCAGGCGGUGCGGUAAGUCUCUGGUGAAAGCGCUCGGCUUAACUGGGCGAGGGCCGGGGAGACUGCCACGCUGGAGGGGAGCAGAGGCGAGUGGAAUUCCGGGUGUAGUGGUGAAAUGCGUAGAGAUCCGGAGGAACACCAAAGGCGAAGGCAGUGUCCUGGGGAGUACCUGACGCUCAGGUGCGAAAGCCAGGGGAGCGAACGGG